rnacentral:rRNA from 1 species
AUUGGUGACUUCAAUAAAAUACUACUGUCAUCAGAAAAAGAAGGAGGAGCCCAGCGGCAACAGUCUAGGCUUAAAGCGUUCCAAGAUGCCCUGACAGACUGCUCCUCGGAGGAUAUUGGAUACCAUGGCGACAAAUUUACCUUUUUCAGAGGAGGGCUAUGAGAAAGGUUGGAUCGAGCAGUAUCAAAUCCGGGAUGGAUGGAUAUGCAUCCUUUAUGUGGUCUUAUAAACCUAGAUAUGGGCAAGUCGGAACACAGACCUAUAUGUUUGGAUAAUGUAUACCUGGCAGAUGUCGCAGCUCAAAGGCGUCGGGCAGGAAGAAAGUUUGAGGCAAGAUGGUUAGAAGAGGAAUUGGUGGAGGAAGUAGUGAGGACGGCGUGA